UAACCCACAUAAGGCAGGCCCUUUGGAAUGUGUUAGGUUUCAUUUGGUAGUGGAAUAGCGUAUUUGAUUAUAUGGUUAGUACUUGGGAAGCAGAAUGAAGUUUGUCACUUAGAAUAGAUUGGUAGUCUUAAAAGAGAGUGUCUAGGGAAUAAGUUGAAUUGUUUCACAAAAAAAAAGGUUAAUUGGAGAAAAAAGUUUUGUGCUCAAUAGUGAACAUAAGUCAUACAAACUUUUGUUGUGUUUACUUGUAUUCUGCUCCAUGUGAUUUUGCAAAAGAAAUAGAACUAUUUGAGUGAAUUGCAGACCUCUUAAUAAUAAAAUACACCUUUUGAAGAAUUUUUUUGAACUGUGACAAAUUAUUGACAUAUAUGCUAUAGGAAUAAAGACUAAAUUGAAUUUUUGAUUUUCUAAUUAUAGAGGCAGCAGAUUGUGGUAGAGGUACUAUUGGUUAUGAGAAAUAAAUGCUGAUGAGAAAUGUUUCUAUAGUUUGUGAUUUCUUACCUAAAUGGAUUCUAUCUCAUAUUUGAUGGUAAACAUGAUGCAUUUGCUUUUUCUGAUUUUGAUUUUAUGCAUUUGUUUUGUUUUUCUAAUUUUGUUUUAUAAGAGUUUCUGAUACAGCCAUCCUUUAAACUUAAGGAAGGCUAUGUAAAUGUAUUAAAAUACCUACUAUAGGUCAGGAAAAAUCUCAGUAACUUUGACCUUUAUUUAGUCAGAAUGGGGACUAGGUUGCUCAUGUUCUCUAAAGACAAUUUUGACUAUUAAGUUGAUGUAUGCCAAAUUUGUUUUUAAAAUAAUUCUGCAACUUAAUAUAAUUUAUAUAGAUUGACUUGAAAGAUGUAGGAUUUCAUUCUUUCAUUAAUUUGUUCAUGCAUGUAACUAAUAUAUAAUGAACACGUAUCGUGGCCUAGGGAUUUUUUUCCAUCUCCUGGGUUAUAGUGGUAAACCAGACAAGCAAAAACCAUGCCUUCUUGGAGCCUAUGUUGUUGUGAUACUUUUCCUUUUGUCUCAUUAGCAGUUUGUGUAUUGAACUUGCUGCAGAGCUGGGGAGGCUGUGCAGGCACUACUGACUCCAGCAUUGCUUCUUUGCUGGGGACUGUGUUGGUUGCAGCCUAAUCCGUUCUUAGCAUUUUGCCUCUUAGAGUCCAGAUUGCCUGUCCACUGUUCAAAAUAGAGACUGAGCAGGGAGACUUAGUUAAAUGAUUUUUCAAACAGUGGGAAAAUAUGACUAGCUACAUUAAGUUUUAUACAAAAUUGUCUGUUAUAUAUGUUUUAAAAUCUCCAUUUGAUAUUUUGGAAUCUUAACUAUUUCUUAUAAAAUACAGCUUUAAGGAUGUUUUCUUUUGUCAGUGAGAAUCAUUAGUCUCCACAUGCAUAUGAUUUUAAAAAGCAACUAUUCAUAAGUGGAGACCAAACCUUAUGAAUUUAGAAGAAUAAACUAAUAACUAUUUUCAUUUUUAAAGCAAACUUUUAAGUACCCGAGAAAUUUGAUGUCCUUUUUAUAAAUAUUUUCUGAAUUUGAUGUGAUUCCUCAGGGUUCAUUUGAGUAGCUUAUCAGUGAAAGAUGAAAUAGUUUGCCAUGUACUUUAGUGUGUAGAACUUGGGAAAUAAAGAUUUCUAUACAGUGAUCAAUGUCUCAAAGGUGGACCAAAUCCUAGUUAAUGGCUUUCUUUGAUCUAGCAAUGUUUUUGAUACCAUAAAGUUUUAUGGUUAAGAAAAAAUAGACGUAAGUGUUUGAGUUUGUUGAAAUAUUUUAAAUAUAUAAAUAAAAUCCUCUGGAGUAAAAAAAUUUUUUUUAAUCUUUUUUGCCCUUCAAGUGAGUUUUGAAUAAGUAAUUUUGUUUUUUACAAAUCAAAACGUGAUGUAGCAAAUGUCUACUUUUUGUAACAGCUGCUCACUAUGAUGAAAAAAAUCUGUCUUACAUAUUUUUGAAGUACUUUUAAUUUACCAAACAUUUAUUAGAAGUUAACCACUUUGCUGGGCACGGUGGCUCACGCCUGUAAUCUCAGCACUUUGGGAGGCCGAGGUGGGUGGAUCACGAGGUCAGGAGUUUGAGACCAGCCUGGCCAAAUGUUGAAACCCUGUCUCUACUAAAAAUAUAAAAAUUAGCCAGGCGUGGUGGCGUGCACCUGUAAUCCCAGCUACUCAGGAGGCUGAGGCAGGAGAAUCGCUUGAACUGGGGAGGGAGAGGUGGCAGUGAGCUGAGAUUGCACCACUGCACUGCAGCCUGGGCAACAGAGCAAGACUCUGGCCGGGUGUGGGUGGGGGUUGGCAGGGGGGAAGUUAACCACUUAAUCAAAACAUCUUAUGUACACAAGUAUAUGUACCUACUGUGUACUCACAAAAAUUAAAAAGAAAAAAAAGUAGGUAUUAGAAAAAAGUGAACCACUUGAUAAUAUGUAGUGUUUUAUACUCUGCCCUCUUUUUCUGCAGUCAUUAUCAUGUUUCCGUGGAUCUUUAGUUUUAACUUUGUGAGAAUGGUUGGAUAGGUGUCAUCCCAUUGUACAGACAAGGAAACCGAGGCCCAACGGUUGUGAUUUUUCCAAGGAAAUGCAGUUCUGUAAGCAUUAGAGCAGGGAUUAGAAGGACCUAGUUCUCAACCGCUGGUGCUAGGUGUAAAGGGGAACCAUCAUUCAAUUUUUCAUAAGUUUUUUUGGUUGGUUGUUUUGUUUUUACUGGUAUAAUGUCCAAAUACAAAUUUAUUUUUUCCUCAUUCUUUUUAUAAGUUCACAUUCAUAGAAAAAUAGUAAGAAUGAUGAAGAAUUUUUGUGUAUACUUCAUCCGGAUUUCUCUACCUCCGGUAACCAUGUUUGCUUUCUUACUAUCUUCUUCACAUACAAAUGAACACAUAAUUUCUUUUCUGAACAUUUUGAGAAUAAAUUGCAAUUCGUGGUACCCUUUACCUCUAAAUAACUCUGUGUAUAUUUUAAAAACAAGCACAUUUUAUUUAACUAUAGUACAACGAUCAAAAUCAAGAAACUGUUGUCUGUAGAUCGUAUUCAGAUUUCACUAAUCAUACCAAUAAUGUCCUUACUAGAGUAAAUUCUACAUCACACCUUACAUUCACUUGUCUUAGUCUCCCUUAAUGUGAAUCAGUUGGUUACUCCUCUUUUCUUGCAUGACCUUUGAGAUGAUAUUUGAUAAAAAUAGGCCAGUAUUUUUAGAAUUGCUUUAAUAUUGAUUUGCUGCUGCUUCACGAUUAGGUUUGGGUUCUAUAUUUUUGGCAGGAACACUCCAGGAUUAAUAUUGUAUUCCUGUCAGCACACCAUAUCAGGAAUCAUGUUGUCCAUAUAUUCCAUUAAUAGAGAUGUAGAGCUUUAUUAUUAUUAUUUUUUUAAAGAGACAGGGAUCUUGCUCUGUUGCCCAGGUUUGAGUGCAGUGGUGUGAUCAUGGCUCACUGCAGUCUCGAACUUCUGGGCUUAAGCAGUCCUUUGACCUCAGCCUUCUGAGUAGCUGGGACUAUAGGUGCAAGCCACCAUGCCUGCCUGAUUUUUUAGAUUUUUGGUAGAGAGGAGGUCAGGCCAUGUUGCUCAGGCUGGGGUGUUAAUUUUUAUCUGCAGGGUUUCCCUACUGCAUAGUUACUGUGUUUUCUUUGUAACUAGUAAUAGUAUCUUCUGGGGAGAUACUUCGAUGCGAAUAUCUUGCUACUGGUCAAAUUUUCACUUGUUUUAGCGUCUUCUUAUCUGAAUCAGAACUAAUGGUGAUUGCCAAAUGGUGAUUUUCUGAGUCUAUCAUUUUUGUAUUUAUUAGUUCGCAUUCUCUACAAGCUUUCCCAUUUAUAUAUGUAGGUGUAUAUGCAUAUUAGUAUGAACUCAUGGUUUUUUUUUUUUUUUUUUGGCGACAGAGUCUCACUCUGUCAUUGUCACCCAGUCUAGAGUGCAGUGGCUUGAUCUCAGCUCACUGCAGCCUCCAUCUCCCAGGUUCAAGCGAUUCUCGUGCCUCAGCUUCCUGACUAGCUGGGGCUACAGGCACGCAACACCAUGCCUGGAUAAUUUUUGUAUUUUUAGUAGAGUCGAGGUUUUGCCAUGUUGGCCAGGCUGGUCUUGAACUCCUGGCCUCAAGUGAUCCAUCUGCCUUGGCCUCCCAAAGUGCUGGGAUUACAGGCUUAAGCCACUGCACCUAGCUAAACUCAUGGAUUUUUUUUUAAUUCACUGAGUUAUCUUUAUACUCUGAUUGUCUCAGUUUUGACUAGGCAAGCUGGCUCCUUUGUCCUUUUGACAAGUCCUCAUUAUUUUUUGAGUUGUCUUAUUCUCUAGUGUAAUAAAAUACUCCCAUCCCGGCCUGGGAAUCAGCCAUUUCUCUAGUUUCUUUUAGUGUGUGUAUAUCUAUCAAUAGAUAGAACUGUAAAUUAUAUAUAUACAUACAUUCUCUCUUUCUCAUCUGUUUUGUAUCUGUUUAUCUAAAAAGCCAUGAAUUCAUCAUAGUAUCUUCAAUUCAAGUCAAAUACAGUAGGGUUCAUUCUAGCUUUCCCUCUUUCCAAGUCUGUCUUUGACAGCAAGAACCCUGGCUUUUGUUAUCUACAAUAUAUUUACUUCUUAUUUGUUCAUUCCUGAAAUACAUAGAAAGUAGUUUCAGAAUUGCUAAAGCAUGUAUCUGUAAACAAACCUAUUAGAGUUUAUUUGUUUAUAAUUCAUUUUUUGUUUUUGCCUAAGGGCAUGUAGUUAAAAUACUAUGUACAAACAUAACUUGGUUAGUUUUCUCCCCCACUUCAAGUGGUUUUGCUAUUAAUUUGAAAUACAGUUAGAUUCAAGUUUUUCUGUUUAUAUUCCAUUUUUUCAUCUUUCAUCCUUGUUUGCUAUCUUUUUAGUAUGUGAAACAUUAAGGAUAAAUUAACUUUAAUCAUUUACUUUUUCCUAGCUUCAGCGUCAUAACUACCUAUGCUCUGAUAAAAAACCAAAACAGCAAAGCAUUUAUUUAACAUUCUUCAGAUAACAUUCUAAAAUUCAGGGGCUUAGAUAUGGAGAAGGAUUUAGGUAAGAGAUCCAAUAGUGCAGAUUCUACUGAUGGGUGAAAUAAAGUAUAUAUUUAGAGAAAAUUUAUUCUCUUAUGAGUGGAAUCUCCAGUCCAGGGGCAGCAAACUUUGUCUGUAGAGUAUUAGUAAAUAUUUUACGUGCUGUGGGCCUCUUUGUAUAUUCUUCGUCUUUUACAAAGCUUAAAAUAUAGAACCGUUCGGCUGAGUGUGGUGGUUAGGCCUGUAAUCUCAGCACUUUGGGAGGCUGAGGCGGGCUGAUGGCUUGAGCUCAGGAGUUCCAGACCAGCCUGGGCAAUAUUGUGAAACAAUAUAUCUCUACAAAAAAUAUUAAUACAAAAAAAUUAGCUAGGCAUGGUGAUGCAUGUCUAUAGUCCCAGCUACUUGGGAAGAUUGCUUAAUCCAGGGAGGUGGAGGUUGCAGUGAGUUGAGAUAUUGCCACUUUAAUCCAGCCUGGGUGACAGAGCAAGACCCUGUCUCAAAACAAAAAAAAACCCCCAUAUAUCAAAAAAAAAAAAAAAAAAAAAAAAAAAAAAAAAAAAAAAAAAAAAAAAAAAAAAAAAACAAACACAUCUGUAGGAUGGAGAAUGUUGCCCAAAUCCAGGGGCUGGCCUGGUUUUGUAAGUAAGUUCUAUUGGAACACACUGUGCUGAUUCAUAUACAAAUUGUUUAUGGUUGUUUUCCUGCUACAAAGGGCAGAGCUGAGGAGUUGUGAUAGAGACAGUAUGACCUGCAAAGGCUAAAAUGGUUACUGUAUGGCCCUUUGAAGAAAAAGUUUGCUGAUGCUGGACCUAAUUGAUGAGUGCUUUUAAGAUCUUGAUUAGAGAUAAGUUUUGUGAUGGAGUAGCCAUCUCAGUUUAGGUAAAAGAUUCCCCAAACCUUGAGGAAUUAGAAAUUGAUUUGACUUACAGAAGUCUUCAGAUUAAAAAUAUGCAUUUGUAGGCUGUGGUGCCUACAAGUGGUAGUAUAGAAACUUAAAAUUGUACAAGUUUAAGGAACGUUCUUUAAUGUACAUGAUGGGAGUUGAAACAUAAAGAAUGAAUUAAUUAGACUGAAAACCAAGGCUCUUGUUUAGUACAUUUUCUUUCCUUUUUUGGGGGGUGGGGGAUGGAGUCUCGCUCUGUUGUUUAGUAUAUUUUCAUUGAAAUGAUAAGUCUCGAGUGGCCAAAGGAAAGGACAGGUGAAGACUGGUAGGUUAUUUCAAUCCCUGAGGUCAGAUGAGCAUAGAGAAUUUGCACAAGUAAAGGGUUUGGUCAUUUGACAUUAGAUAAUAUUAGAACAUGGCAUAUGUGGGGAAUAAACUUUUCAUUUAGAAAGCAUUUAGGAAGUUCAGAGAGAGUAAUAGCACAGCAGGUACCAGUAGCCCUAGAAAAGGUAGAAUUUGAUGGAACAAACUAACUGGGGUCAGCAGUCACUUAAGAUUUUGGAAAACAUGGCAGCAGGGAGCCAGAUCCCAAGAAGUAGACUGAUAAGAUGGAAACCUAUAGAGAACACUGGGUAGCUGGAGAGCCCAAGCCUACGGAGCGUGUAGCCAUGGUCUUCUCACCCAAGCACAGAGAUGGAAUCAGCAGGCAAAGGAAAAGUAAGGUCUCAGAAUCAGCUGUCAUUCUUUUUCAGUGUUUUUCAGUGUAAAACCAUGAUUUUCUAUCCUGGAUCAGAUUUUGAGAAUAUGAAGAGAAUAACAUUCCCAAUUCUUGGAGGCAGGUUAACAUUAUCUGAUUAGAAUGAGAAUUGGAAUGAAGCUUGGUAGUUCCUAAUAGCAGUGUGUUACAGCAAUAUUAAUAAAUUAUCCAUUGGAUAAUGAAGGUUUAUUAUUGAAUGCUUGCUGUGUACCAGGCAUUGUCAUGUCUUGUAGAUGUAAAUAAAUUAAAUAUAGUCUCUUUAUGUACAUUAUUUAAGGAAGUUUAUUAAAAGCUUCUAAUGGGCCAGCAUCAUCAUAUUUUUCUAAAGUACUGAUUGUUAGUUAUAGUGUCAUUCAUAAAAUUCUCAACAAAUGGUCUUUGAUGGAGGUCCUUGGAAGGCAGCUAUGCUCACCACUAUACCACCAGCACCGUCAGAUGGAGGUCUUUGGAGGAUUAAGUUUGAUGCUUGGGAUUGAGCGGUAGUGAACUGUAUAGAACACCUAAAUUUUGGACAAAUUUAUUUGGAAACUACAUGAUGACAGAGUGCUUCUGAAGUCAUGUGCUGGGUUCACAUUAGUUCAGUAAAUGUUGAAUAAACUUUAACCGAUUUAUAAAGAACCAUGAAACAGCUUAGUUAACAAAAUUAAACACAAUAGAAAACAGUUUAUUUUUGUAUCCAAUGAAACUAGUUAAAUAUAGCAGAGAAAUAGAUGUCAGUAGACAUUUGAAAUGUGUGUUCAGAUUAGUAGAAUAAACGUAUCAGCAAGAUCCCUAGAAGCCAAGGAAAGAAGCAGGAAACUUGUUAAAUCACAUAUCUUUGAUAAAAAGUAAGCACCAAGCUAACUGAAUCACUCUCUAAUUUCUGGAUUUAAGUAGAUUAUUUCUUUAAUUGGAUCAGUAAAUGACACUGUUCUAGGGGAAAUUUUUAUCAACCUUCUUUAAAGUUGAGAACUUAAUAAUAAAGGAAUUCAGUGAAGAAUUAGAUGAAAUGAUGUUUUCUGAUGAUCAGAUUUACCAAAUUAGAUUUUAGAGACUCUAGAGAAAUAGUUGGAGGCAUAUGUACAGCUGACCCUUGAACAGCGGGAAGUUUAAGGGCGCCAACCCCCUGUGUAGCUGAAAAUCAUAUAACUUUUGACUCUUCCGCAACUAAUAAUAGACUACUGUUGACCAGAAACCUUAACAAUAACAUAAACAGUUGAUUAACACAUAUUUUAUAUGUUAUAUAUAUUAUAUACUGUAUUCUUAAAAUAAGAGAAAAGAAAAUGUUAUUAAGAAAAUUAUCAGGAAGAGAAAAUAUAUUUACUAUUCAUUAAGUAGAAGUAGGUCAUCAUAAAAAUCUUUACCCUUGUCUUCAUGUUGAGUAGGCUGAGGAAGGGAAAGAGGAGUGAUUGGUCUUGCUGUCUCAGGGAUGGCAGAGGCAGAAGAUGUGGAGGAGAUGGAAGGGGAGGCAGGAGAGGCAGGCACACUCAGUGUAACUUUACAGAAAAUAUAAUUUCUGUCCAACUUUUUUGCUUUUUCAUUUCUCUAAAAAUGUUUCUAUACCAUGGCACCAAUUCUUCUUCCACUGUUGGCUUUAAUUUUAGUGCCUGUGUCAUAGGAGGGUUUGUGUCCUAAAAAUAAAUCAAAAGCAGUCUUGGAUAAUUGUAACCCUUCUGCCAGAUUGUCUAAAGUAGACUUGUUUUCUGGCACUGCUUCGUCUGCUUCUUCCUGACCGUCUGGCACUGGUUUGGAAGCACUCUUCUUCAGCAAGUUGUCUUCUGUUAAUUCCUCUGAUGUGGUUUCCAUUAGCUCUUGAAUUUCUCCAAGAUUCAUAUCCUGAAACCCUUCACCUCCCUCCAGCAGCACCCCCCCUUUUUUUUUUUUUUGCUAUAUCCACAAUUUUAUGAUUUCCUUCAUUGCUUCUGUUUUGUUUUUGUUUUUGUUUUUUGAGAGGGAGUCUUGCUCUGUUGCCCAGGCUGGAGUGCAGUGGCACAAUCUCGGCUCACUGCAAGCUCCGCCUCCCGGGUUCACGCCAUUCUCCUGCCUCAGCCUCUCCGAGUAGUUGGGACUACAGGUGCCCGCUACCAUGCCUGGCUAAUUUUUUGUAUUUUUAGUAGAGAUGGGGUUUCACCGUGGUCUCGAUCUCCUGACCUCGUGAUCCGCCCGCCUCGGCCUCCCAAAGUGCUGAGAUUACAAGCGUGAGCCACUGCGCCCGGCCUGGUUCUGUUAUAAAUCCUAUGAAGUCACGUGCAACAUCUGGACACAGUUUUGUCCACCAGGAAUUGAUUGUUUUGUGCUUCAUGGCUUUCAAAGCUUUUUUUGUGGCAGUGGUGGCAUCUUCAGUGGUAUAAUACUUCCAGACUUCUAUGAUGUUCUGUUGGGGUUCUCUUCCACAGCAUUGACAAUCCUUUUUAUAGACUACAAUGUAUAAUGAGCCUUAAAGGUCCUUAUGACCCCCGAUCUAGAGACUGAAUUAAGAGAUGUCUCAUUUGGGGACAUGUAGACUACUUUGACGCCUUCAUUGUUGCAUGGAGUUAUGGGUGGCCAGGGACAUUGUCCAGUAUGAAAAGAAUUUUAAAAGGCAGUCCCUUACUGGCAAGGGUACUUCCUGACUUCAGGGACAAAGCAUUGAUGGAACCAGUCCAAAAAAAGCCCAGGCCUUCCUUCUGUACAACCAAAAGACUGGUAGCCAGCCAGUGUCUUCUGUCUUUUCCUAUCAAGGCUCAGGUUGGCAGCUUUAUAGAAAGGGCAGUCCUGAUUAUAAGCCUGACUGCAUUUGCACAAAACAGUAGAGUUAGUCUAUACCUUCCUGCUUUAAAUCCUGAUGUUUGCCUCUCUUCCUUACCAAUAAUUGUUCUUUGUGGUAUUUUUUUUUUUU